rnacentral:lncRNA from 1 species
CCUGUGGAGGUGAUUUGGAAAAAUCAAACCUUCAUUUCAGGCUUUUUCCUAUAUUUAUGAUAUAUAAUUUCUGUGACCCUUCUUAUAUUUCAAUAUACAGUCCCUGCAGGUCAAGAACAAAAUUAUAUUAUUAGGUACCUGUAACAUCUGGGCUCUCAUGGAGACCAAAGUGCACUGCAAAGGUUACAAAGUACACAAAGAUUACAACCUGAGAUGUUGUGGUAGUCGCUACUUUUUCUUAGUGGAGACCCAGUAAAGAACAUCACAAGUAGGAUGCUCCCAAUAAUUAAAUUAUGUUUUAUUCUGCCAUGUGCAGUACAGUAACUGUAGAAGAAAUGGACUAUUAUUUUCAAAUAAUUUAUUGUGUGCUACAGUAUGCUCAAAUUUAGACUAAAAUGACUAUUAGAAAAAGCAAUAUUUAUCAGUCAUAAAGAACUGCAGUUUAUAAGGCAAGUUUUAGCAAACUUAAUUGAUAAAACUAUAGAGCAACACAUGAAAUAGAUGAAUGGAAGAAAUAAAAUGCAGAUUAAAAGAAUGAGUUCAAGACAUUUCAGGCCUCAAUUUAUGGUAUAGAAUAAUGUUGAAAAUAUUAGGAGAGAGAUAUUUUAAUUUUUUUCAUCUCAUUUGUUUCAUUUUAAGUAGGAUGUAGUGUUGGACUACUUGAAUUUAAUGGAAUCCCACAUUAAAAGAUAAAAAGAAAUAGUCAUGAAGGUGGCUCUAGGGUUAAGAGGUGAAAAGGACCAUAUGGCUUACAUCACAGCAACAGCAAAUGGAAUGAGGAAGAAUGAAACUUUGCUGCUGGCUACAAGACUAUAUUCAGAGCCAUUCAGCUGUACUGUGAUCAGAACAGCUGCUAAGGAGAAGAUACACAUGAUGGCAUCUCCAGGAAUUACUUAAACCAGCAAAAGUCCCCAAACACCCUCUUUAGGUACUGGAAGGGAAGCAUAACUGUUCAAUGGGAGUGUGUAUGACAUUCAAGAUUCAUACUUACUCUUUUCAUAAAGAUAUGCCAGAAUUUGCAGAUUCUUUCUGAAUUUACAUGUGGCAAACACUAAUAACAAGGGA